rnacentral:lncRNA from 1 species
GAGAUAUGUUGGACGAUGGAGUUUCUUUGGAUGAGGACGACACUUUAGAUUUUUGAUCUCCUUGUGGGUGUUUUGUCUGAAUUUGUUUUGUUUUUUCACGGAUUAUUUGUGAUCCGGCCCCUUGUUUGCGCCUGCGCUCCCAUGGGUUUUUAGGUCCCGUUCUCUUUCUUUCUNUUUUUUUUAAUAAAAUUUCUAUUUCAGCACGUAAAUAUAUAUGUUGGUCUCGAGGGCGAGUAUAUACUGAUGUAUGGGAGGAGGAAUACACCAGUUUGCAGUUUUUUGCUGUUUUUUUCAUUUUCUCAUAAUAUUAAACAACUUACUGAUAAUGAGUCAGUUUGUAAAGGAAGUAGUCUACCGACUAAGAACAAGCUUACUGAUACAUCAAGCAAGUUGAUUGUAUUUAGUUUAGACGAGCUCAAGUUCCUGUUCAAUUGUUCAUGCGGAAUUCGAUAGGCUACAAGACUCGCUACUUGAAAAUCUUUCCUAUCUAUUCU